UACGUAGGGGGCAAGCGUUGUCCGGAUUUAUUGGGCGUAAAGAGCGUGUAGGCGGCCAAGCAGGUCCGCUGUGAAAACUCGAGGCUCAACCUCGAGACGUCGGUGGAAACCGUUUGGCUAGAGUCCGGAAGAGGAGAGUGGAAUUCCUGGUGUAGCGGUGAAAUGCGCAGAUAUCAGGAAGAACACCCGUGGCUAAGGCGGCUCUCUAGUACGGUACUGACGCUGAGACGCGAAAGCGUGGGGGAGCGAACAGG
rnacentral:rRNA from 1 species